rnacentral:rRNA from 1 species
UUCCCCUAGUAACUGCGAGUGAAGCGGGAAAAGCUCAAAUUUAAAAUCUGGCGGUCUUUUGGCUGUCCGAGUUGUAAUCUAGAGAAGUGUUAUCCGCGCUGGACCGUGUACAAGUCUCCUGGAAUGGAGCAUCAUAGAGGGUGAGAAUCCCGUCUUUGACAUGGACUGCCAGGGCUUUGUGAUGCGCUCUCAAAGAGUCGAGUUGUUUGGGAAUGCAGCUCAAAAUGGGUGGUAAAUUCCAUCUAAAGCUAAAUAUUGGCGAGAGACCGAUAGCGAACAAGUACCGUGAGGGAAAGAUGAAAAGAACUUUGGAAAGAGAGUUAAACAGUACGUGAAAUUGCUGAAAGGGAAACGCUUGAAGUCAGUCGCGUCGUCCAGGGAUCAACCUUGCUUUUGCCUGGUGCACUUCCUGGUUUGACGGGUCAGCAUCAAUUUUGACCAUUGGAAAAAGGCUUAGGGAAUGUGGCAUCUUUGGAUGUGUUAUAGCCCUUGGUCACAUACAAUGGUUGGGAUUGAGGAACUCAGCACGCCGCAAGGCCGGGUUUUAAACCACGUACGUGCUUAGGAUGCUGGCAAUAUGGCUUUAAUCGACCCGUCUUGAAACACGGACCAAGGAGUCUAACAUGCCUGCGAGUGUUUGGGUGGAAAACCCGAGCGCGUAAUGAAAGUGAAAAGUUGAGAUCCCUGUCGUGGGGAGCAUCGACGCCCGGACCAGACCUUUUGUGACGGUUCCGCGGUAGAGCAUGUAUGUUGGGACCCGAAAGAUGGUGAACUAUGCCUGAAUAGGGUGAAUCCAGAGGAAACUCUGGUGGAGGCUCGUAGCGAUUCUGACGUGCAAAUCGAUCGUCAAAUUUGGGUAUAGGGGCGAAAGACU